ensembl:lncRNA
UUUAUUUAUUUUACACCCUUCUCCAUCAGUAAUGGAAAUGCCAUCUAUGCCUUCAAGCAAUGUGGAAUUUCCUCCUCAUGAACCCCCUCCCUGACCUCUGUCUCCAGAGACACAAAAUGUCAUGGCCUGAAAUCAAGCAAGCAAUUCUAAUAAUUAUCUGCCACUUAUAGUGCCCUUUCCCUGCACAGCCUAGUGGCACCCCAUCAGCUUCAUGUGACAGCUGGGGAAACCAGAGGAGAGCAAGUCAAGUGAUUGCUCUGGGUCUCACCAGAACUGGAGGGUAAAUGUCCCACCCUUCUGUCCAGCCCUUGUCCUUUGAGCCAUGCUGCUUCCAUCAAUGAUUUGGUAGUGAAAUCACAGCACUGGUAUGCCUAAAUCCUCUAUGGUUUUCAUUUUUUUUAGCAACUGUAAACACCAAAUCCUUAUCCUGGUUAUCUUAGCUGAGAUGGUGGACAAAGACAAGCGCUCAGAAGGAAAGAAAAUAACAGGGGUGUGUAGUGUGGCUUCAAGCAGUCGCUUAAUGACAGGAUGUGGAGAAACUCAAAGACAAAAAUAUCAGAAGGAAUGACGAGAAUGGUGCCACAGUAAAGGGCUGCUAAAAUGCAGGGAGCAGAGUGAAGCCUUAAAAAGGCAGCCUUGGAGAUGGCUAAUAUAGCAUCACAGAGGACAUUGUUGCAUGCCACACACCAGAGAGAUUAAACGAAUGCAGUGUUACCCUGAUGUCAGAAGAAAAGCAGGAUGGAGCACAGGCAGGAAUGGCAAUCAUGGUGACAUGGAACACCAUUCUUGGAAGCUGGCAGGACAUCCUGAGAAAGACAUUCCUUGCCUCAGGAAACUGAAACACCAAACAUUUCUGCCAGUGCUUGUCCACGAGGCUUGCUUUGGUGUCUGUGCAUCAAGGGCUGGCCUUGAGCACCAGCAGACAAAGCAGCUUCCCUUGGCCUUCCCUUCCCACCACCCUCUUCAUUGCUGCGAGGCCACCUCAAGGGCGCCACCACCCACGCCAUCAUCUGCCUUUCUUGUACUGCAUAAUGCAAAUUGUCUGUGCUCAGGGAGGAACAAUUGCUUUCAGGAUGUGAGGGGAGCAGAAGCUCCCAGUGCUUGAGCUCCAGGAGGCUCUGAGAAAGCAGGAGGCAAUGUCAGUCCUCUCCCAUGGGAAUGGCCUCAGGACCCACAUCCCUGGUCCUCUCAGGGUCUGGCUGUGCCGUGCCAAGCACUAAUGCUGUACUCAGACCUGGGACUGUUGAGGUCAUCUUUGCUUUCAUAUUUUCUUUUUCUCCUCUCCCUUACUUUGGGCAGGAGGUGGCAGCCAUCUGUGAGACAAGGUAGAGCCCCUUCAGCAGUAAGAGGAGCUGUCAGGAACACCACUUGGUUGUUGGUUUGGUUUUUUGUUUUGUUUUUUUUUUUGUCUACUCGUUCUGUAAUCUCUUCCCAGAAUCAAAUUAUUUUGCUGUGUUUUGCCAGUAUACCACCUAGUAAGACAGCAUCAAACCUACAGCUGUGUUGCAGCAGCUCAUACAUAAAGCCUAAGGCCAAGAGCUUCAGAAUCUGAAACCCAUGCUUUGGCUUGUGGCAUAACUAUAUGCAUAAAAAUGGGAGGAUCCCAAUUCCUCACUCG